rnacentral:rRNA from 1 species
UUUUUGUUUGGAGAGUUUGAUUCUGGCUCAGGACGAACGCUGGCGGCGUGCUUAACACAUGCAAGUCGAACGGAAAGGCCCUUCGGGGUACUCGAGUGGCGAACGGGUGAGUAACACGUGGGUGAUCUGCCCUGCACUUUGGGAUAAGCCUGGGAAACUGGGUCUAAUACCGAAUAUGACCGCGCACUUCCUGGUGUGUGGUGGAAAGCUUUUGCGGUGUGGGAU